rnacentral:rRNA from 1 species
AAGUAGAUAAGGGCGUGUGGGGAAUGCCUUGGCUCUCAGAGACGAUGAAGGACG